rnacentral:rRNA from 1 species
CAGCCGUAAACGAUGCUCGUUAGGUGUCAGGCAUGGCGCGACCGUGUCUGGUGCCGCAGGGAAGCCGUGAAGCGAGCCACCUGGGAAGUACGGCCGCAAGGCUGAAACUUAAAGGAAUUGGCGGGGGAGCACAACAACGGGUGGAGCCUGCGGUUUAAUUGGACUCAACGCCGGACAACUCACCGGGGGCGACAGCAAUAUGAAGGCCAGGCUGAAGACUUUGCUUGACUAGCUG